GGCUGAUUGGAGUGCAGAGGGUGUUUACAAUUAAUUGAUCAGAGCCAGUUAUAAAUUUAUUGUUUCCUUCUCUGCUCCUCCUGCUUCAGCUGACUAAGCCUAAG
rnacentral:sRNA from 1 species